AGCGAACGCUGGCGGCAGGCCUAACACAUGCAAGUCGAACGAACCUUUCGGGGUUAGUGGCGGACGGGUGAGUAACACGUGGGAACGUGCCUUUAGGUUCGGAAUAACUCAGGGAAACUUGUGCUAAUACCGAAUGUGCCCUUCGGGGGAAAGAUUUAUCGCCUUUAGAGCGGCCCGCGUCUGAUUAGCUAGUUGGUUGAGGUAAUGGCUCACCAAGGCGACGAUCAGUAGCUGGUCUGAGAGGAUGAUCAGCCACAUUGGGACUGAGACACGGCCCAAACUCCUACGGGAGGCAGCAGUAGGGAAUCUUGCGCAAUGGGGCAAAGCCUGACGACGCCAUGCCGCGUGAAUGAUGAAGGUCUUAGGAUUGUAAAAUUCUUUCACCGGGGACGAUAAUGACGGUACCCGGAGAAGAAGCCCCGGCUAACUUCGUG
rnacentral:rRNA from 1 species